CACCAAUCAACACACAACUCGACAACCAAAUCAACACAAUAAACACAAUGUCUUGGAUCAAUUUCCUUGGUUUAGCAACCAUUUUACUUUUCAUCACCCAAUUUUUUUUUUCAGUCUGGUAUCAGUUUUAUUUUAAGUCUUGUUAUUUUCACUCCAAACAAUCAAUUUACAACUCUUUUGCACAUAUUUCAUUAUCUAUAAUUAAAAUCUUCAGCUUUCAAUACAAUUUACAUUUUCUUCUUCAUAUUUCAACUUUUGCAAAUCUACUCUUUAAUUUUCAAAGCACAUUUUACAAUUUUCCUAUAAAUGAUUUCAUUCAAGCAAUUAGUCUUUUAAUUUCUCAAAAAGCACAUUUACAUGCCCUACACAGUUUUACAAUUUCUCAAGCAAACAAUUUACUUUUUUAGUUAAGUGCUCAAUUUAUAUUUCCUGCACAGAUUUAUUUUUCAAUGCAAAUUUUAUGACAGUUGCUUAAAAUGUUAUAUCUUUAUCAUUGCAUGCUUGGUCUUUUGAGUUUAUUUUUUGUUCAAUUAGCUUGUUAAUGCUUGUUUUUGUAUUAUUAGGUACUUACAAGAGCAUGGAAGAGAUUAUGUAGCAUGAAGAGAUGAAUUGAGCACACAAAAAAAGCAAAGUACACAUCAAGCACUUUAAGGCAUAUGAAAGCGCGAUUCUAAUGAGGACUUAGCCAAUGAAAAAAUGGGAUUAGUGGUGUCUUAUUCAUGGUAUUUUGAGGCUAAUGGUGAAAAACGAAUAUAUUUGAAUAUCAACUCACGUUGAGCUUCUUUGGACAGUCUCAAUGAAACUUCUAUGUGAUCUACUAUAUAGAAUUUGAAUAUGAACUUAUGGGCUUAGAUGGAUCUUAAUUGACAUAUGUUGAGGCCACAUGUGAAAAAUAAGUGCAAUCGGGCCAAAUUAUAUUAAGGGUCACAUAUUGAGUGUGUUGGGCCUCUUUAUGUUGAGUUACGUAGGACCAAAAGUUAAGGCCUUAAUUUGUAGAUUUAAUUAUUUUAUUUAAGACCCCAAAUAAAUAAAAUAGAGGUAUAUGGGUCCCCUAGGUCAUGCAAGUGGCAAAUCUGUAUAAAGGAGAGUUGUUUUUAACUUUUUUUUUUUUCCUACUUUAACUAGGGUUCUUGAGAGAGAAUUAAGUCAGAUUGCAACUAGAACUCUUAAAUCAGAUCUGGAGUCAUAGUUAACUUAUUUUUCUCUAUAAAAGGGUCUAAAAUAUAGAUCUAGGGAUUGUCAAUUUCCUUCUACUCAUAAUGGCCAAAUUUCCGUUUUGUGCAUUCAAAUGUUUUGAUUGCUUGAUCUAGUUGCUGGUGUGAUUUCUUCUUCUUCCUUUUUGGCUUGUGGAGUGCUUUUACAUCCUUUGGAGUGUGUGGUAUCAUCAUUAAUAUCAGAUUCAAGUUGAUCAAAUUCCAUUCAAAAGAGGCAACAUGCUUUUCUAUUUUCUUUUGUUAAUUUGUUUAUGUUUAAUGUUCUUGGUUAUGUGUGAGUAGUUUUGUAAUUCAAUAGAGAGACAGUUGAAGCCAUGGAACAUGUUAUCAUGAGACUUUGAUUUGAGUUUAAUAAAAUCCAG
rnacentral:misc_RNA from 1 species